GCGUUCUUAGCUCAGUUGGUAGAGCGUCGCCCUUACAAGGCGAAUGUCGGCGGUUCGACCCCGUCAGGACGCA
rnacentral:tRNA from 1 species